rnacentral:tRNA from 1 species
UGGGGUGUGGCUCAGUGAUAGAGCACUUGCCUAGCACGUGUGAGGCACUGGGUUUGAUUCUCAGCAGCACAC